rnacentral:rRNA from 1 species
GGGCAAUCUGCCCUUCACUCCGGGACAAGCCUUGGAAACGAGGUCUAAUACCGGAUAACACUUCCUCUCUCCUGGGGGGAGGUUAAAAGCUCCGGCGGUGAAGGAUGAGCCCGCGGCCUAUCAGCUUGUUGGUGAGGUAAUGGCUCACCAAGGCGACGACGGGUAGCCGGCCUGAGAGGGCGACCGGCCACACUGGGACUGAGACACGGCCCAGACUCCUACGGGAGGCAGCAGUGGGGAAUAUUGCACAAUGGGCGAAAGCCUGAUGCAGCGACGCCGCGUGAGGGAUGACGGCCUUCGGGUUGUAAACCUCUUUCAGCAGGGAAGAAGCGAAAGUGACGGUACCUGCAGAAGAAGCGCCGGCUAACUACGU